rnacentral:rRNA from 1 species
UAGGGAAUCUUCGGCAAUGGACGGAAGUCUGACCGAGCAACGCCGCGUGAGUGAAGAAGGUUUUCGGAUCGUAAAGCUCUGUUGUAAGAGAAGAACGAGUGUGAGAGUGGAAAGUUCACACUGUGACGGUAUCUUACCAGAAAGGGACGGCUAACUACGUGCCAGCAGCCGCGGUAAUACGUAGGUCCCGAGCGUUGUCCGGAUUUAUUGGGCAUAAAGCGAGCGCAGACGGUUAGAUAAGUCUGAAGUUAAAGGCUGUGGCUUAACCAUAGUAGGCUUUGGAAACUGUUUAACUUGAGUGCAAGAGGGGAGAGUGGAAUUCCAUGUGUAGCGGUGAAAUGCGUAGAUAUAUGGAGGAACACCGGUGGCGAAAGCGGCUCUCUGGCUUGUAACUGACGCUGAGGCUCGAAAGCGUGGGGAGCAAACAGGAUUAGAUACCCUGGUAGUCCACGCUGUAAACGAUGAGUGCUAGGUGUUAGACCCUUUCCGGGGUUUAGUGCCGUAGCUAACGCAUUAAGCACUCCGCCUGGGGAGUACGACCGCAAGGUUG